rnacentral:rRNA from 1 species
ACGAACGCUGGCGGCGUGCUUAACACCUGCAAGUCGAACGGAAAGGCCCUGCUUUUGUGGGGUGCUCGAGUGGCGAACGGGUGAGUAACACGUGAGUAACCUGCCCUUGACUUUGGGAUAACUUCAGGAAACUGGGGCUAAUACCGGAUAGGAGCUCCUGCUGCCUGGUGGGGGUUGGAAAGUUUCGGCGGUUGGGGAUGGACUCGCGGCUUAUCAGCUUGUUGGUGGGGUAGUGGCUUACCAAGGCUUUGACGGGUAGCCGGCCUGAGAGGGUGACCGGCCACAUUGGGACUGAGAUACGGCCCAGACUCCUACGGGAGGCGGCAGUGGGGAAUAUUGCACAAUGGGCGGAAGCCUGAUGCAGCAACGCCGCGUGCGGGAUGACGGCCUUCGGGUUGUAAACCGCUUUCGCCUGUGACGAAGCGUGAGUGACGGUAAUGGGUAAAGAAGCACCGGCUAACUACG